CGACGAAGCCGGCCACGGCGACCGGACCGAACGGAUGGGUGGCGAAUUCGAAUUCAGUGACAAUGCCGAAAUUGCCGCCCCCGCCCCGCAGGCCCCACAUCAGCUCCGGGUCGCGCUCGUCGUCGACGCUUAGGUAGUCGCCGGCGGCGGUGACUAGCCGCACCGCGACCAGGUUGUCGCAGCUCAGUCCGAAACGUCGAGUCGUCCAACCCA
rnacentral:sRNA from 3 species